rnacentral:misc_RNA from 1 species
UCACAAUUUAUACAUCUUUUGAUUGGUCAAAACUUCCAGUAUAUGAGCAGCGUAGACAGAGUGAUAAACCUUUUGAUUCUCCAGAAAUUAUUACACACGUUUAUCGCUGACAGUUGUUUGACUAUCUUUAAACUGUCAAAAAACAAUUUCUUUCCCUUUGUUAAAUUAUACUCUUCACACUACCUUGUACAAUUGUGAGUCACUGUGAUACCGUUAGUAAACCAUUUUUUAUGUUUACUUUUAUUUUUAAAAAGAAUUUAUUGCUUUAAAUAUUUUGUAUAAAUUAUUUGUUGUUAUCUAACUUCAUAUUUUAUUUUUUUUACAAAUAUACAUGUACAUGUACAAUGAUAAUAAAUGUUAACUCCUAUUGACUUAAUGCUGCUUAUUGUUAACAUUUUCCUGAGCAUAAUGAAUAAUGAAGUUAGUAUUUUGAUAAUAAAAACCAGUUCCUGUAAUACAUAUAUGUGUAUCGUAGAAGUUCUCGUUUUCUAAAUUUUAAUCUUGUCAGAUGUAUAAUUGUGAGGAGAUAUCACCAGUGUCUCUAUGAUGUCAUACUGAGAUGUGCCCAAUGUUCUGUAAUGUAAUUGUAUGAUGUCCCCAUUGUUUCUGUGAUGUCUUUUAGAUAUUCACAGUGUCUUUGUGAGAGAUGUCUUCAUUGUUUCUGUGAUGUUGAUGAGUGAUGUCUUAAUUGUUUGUGAUGUCACUGAGAGAUGCACCUAAUGUUCUGUAAUGUAUGUAUUGUAAGAUGUCCCCAGUGUUUUGUGGUGUCUUUGAGAUGUUCCCAGUGUCUUUUUGAUGUCAUUGAGAGAUGUCUCCAUAGUCUGUGAUGUCAUUGAGAGAAGUUUCCACAGUCUGUGAUGUCAUUGUGAGAUGUUCCCAAGGUCUCUAUAAUGUCCAUGUAAGAUGCCUUCAGAGUUGAUGUGAUGUAAUUGGGAUUAGAUAUCUUCAUUUAUGUUAUUAUAAGGCCUUUAAUAGUGAUGUUAUUUUAAGGAGAUACUCCCAUAAUGUUUGCAUCAAAUGCCUUUGUGAUGUCACUGGGAGAUGAUAUGAUAUUUUGCGUAGAUGUUCUGAGUGCCCCUCAUGCUAUUAUGGGCUGAGAUGGUCUCGGAGCCUCUUUGAUGUUAUUGUAAGCAAAUAAUGAUGUUAUUGUGAUGUCCACUGUGCCAUUGUUAGGAGAUACCCUCAGCAAUGUCAUUGUGAAAUGAUGUUCUCAGUGCCUCUGCAAUGUUAUUGAAAUUCCAUGUUAGAUGUCUUCAUUAAUUGUUCAUUUGACUGUGAUAUGGUUUUUGCCCAUGAUGUUAUUGAGGAGAUGUUUGAUGUUGUUCUGAGUAGAUGACACCAGUAAUGUAGAUUUCUUUGAUGCUUUUUUGUGUCUAGGUCAGUUUGAGACUGAUGUCUGACUCUUAUUUAAGAAUGUUUUGUUACUGAUAAUAUAUAGUACAAUAAACAAUCACAG